UUCACCUUAAAGCGGGCAACAUAGCCUAUUCCGUCUAAAUAUUGGCAAAAGUAGAGGUAAAAAUUUGCACUACGGGGUCCAGCACAGACAACGAAGCUGUCAUGCAGCUCCAGCUGAGUACACCAUAA